rnacentral:misc_RNA from 1 species
UCUCCGUAGGUGAACCUGCGGAGGGAUCAUUACAGAGUUCAUGCCCUACCGGGUAGAUCUCCCACCCUAUGUUAUUAUUACUUUGUUGCUUUGGCGGGCCGUUAGGCUCCGGCCCGACUACCGGCCCCGGCUGGUAAGCGCCCGCCAGAGGAACCAAAACCCUGAAUAUUAGUGUCGUCUGAGUACUAUAUAAUAGUUAAAACUUUCAACAACGGAUCUCUUGGUUCUG